AAUUUUGGUUUUUCACCUGCACUUUUUCUUCUGUUCAUCCGCGUCUUUCCCUUCUUCCUCUGUACCAUCACUUUCUGCUUCUUUUGACUUUUAGUUUUAGCCUACCAUCUUUCUGCUUCAUUCCUGUUUCUUUCCUGUCUAUUUCUUUUUCCUCUCAUCAGACGAAAGGAAGAAGCUGCAGUUCAACUGCUUUAGCAGAUAGUGUCUUCUCCUUUAUUCAAUGUCAAAUAAACUCUUUUUUUUUUUGUAAUUUCUUGCUCAGAAUUUGCUUACCCACAGGAUAAUUCUACUUGGAAGGAGGAAAAUGGGGAACUUUUGGUUAGAUUAGGUUGUACUUCUUGGCCAAAAAAUCAGCAAAUUUUUCCCCAAAUUAUGCGUAGCCUUCAGAUUCAUCUUAUAGAUAAUUCUUUCAGGAUGGCAUUUUGGGGAAUAUUAUCCCCCAACUACAGCCGACUUUGUGGCCAUGGGGAUGCUUUUCUUCUUUGCUUGGCUUGUAUAGAUAAAUUUGAGUCUUGGUUUUGAUUGUCAAAAUUCAUUUUUUUUCCUAUUUUAUUAGUUUCAGUGUUGUUGAAUGUGUUCUUCUAAACUUUUAAUACAAAUUUAGCCCCAUUUUAAAUAUGAUUACGACAUGUUUUGAUCCUUUCGAUAUUACUCUAAUGACUAAAAUAAGUUCUUGAAUAAUAUUUUUCAUUCUCUAAACAUUCAAUGCAUUGCUUUUUAGUUUUUUUUUCUCUUCUUAUUUUAUGACUGACAACAUGGAAAAUUUUCAGGAAAGUAUUGGAGGAUUUGGGUUUUUUUGAAUUUCCCUUCUCCAAAAUUCUGUUCCUUCUACUUGAAGUUGGCUUGAAGAUGGCUAGCUGCCAUGGAAGCAAUCAUUCUACUGAAAGCCAUUUUUACAUUUUCUCCUCUGUUGUACAAAUGUUCCUUUUCUUUCAUGUAAAAAAUAAUAUUUUAAGCAGAAGGUGAAUAAAUGUAAUCCCCAAAAAUUGGUAUCUUCAUUGUAAAGGUGUAUGAAUUUUAUACUUUUUAAAUGGAAAGGAUAUUAUGUAAUUUCAU